UAUGUGGGAUGGUGUGGACCUGCGUGGCUAUGCUGCCUGGUCACUAAUGGACAAUCUGGAAUGGACGAUGGGUUAUUCUGAAAGAUUUGGCCUUUUCUAUGUAAAUCGAACAGAUCCAAAUUUACCACGUAUUCCUAAGAAAUCUGUCCAGUACUAUUCUACAAUAAUCAACUGCAAUGGCUUCAUAAGCCCAGGAGAAACUCCACAUGAAUGUCAGAUCUAUUAGCCUGAAGGAACUACUUCUCUACCUCCUUCUGGUCAGGCAAUGUUGGUCGAUUUCUUGGGUUUGGAAGUGUCAGGUUCUAAUGCUGAAGAAAAAUGACAGAUUCUAAACAUAAUACCUGCUUUACCAAUUAUCCUAAUUUAUUACAAUCCUAAUAUAAUUUGCUACAGUAUGAAUGUAUAACUGGUUGUACAUAUGUCUCUUUGAAAAAUAUCAGCAAUUGCAUGAGUAUCUGCCUUUAACAAUAUAGUAAAGUGUCAGAUGACUUUGUCUAACUUGAUAGCAAUGUAAUGAGAACUGAAUUGUUCUGUUUUGUGGAUUGUUCUGUUUUGUGUGAUUUAAUUCUUUGCUUAUGAAAGUUAUCUCUGUAAAAUGCUGAUUUUAAACAAUAAGUCAAAAUAAUAAAGUCAUUCAAAUGCAA